UGCAAUUCCACAAUUUGUUGGAGCUGCCAGCAGAUGGCCCCUUAACCCUUCUAAUACCACACUGAGAUUUGCUCUUCGGGAAAAUCAUUAUGGGGGAAAAAAAACCAAAAUAAAAACCCCUCUCAUCCUGCUGUCAACAGUCAUCAAAGAUCAAACAGCACUUUUGAGAGCCUUGGGUUCAACUUCUCAAACCUGGGAGCCAGAGUUUAGCAGUUAAAUUGUUACACUUGAAAAUGCAGAAAUGUGAUUCUUGCCCAGCACAUGUUGCACAAGGCUCCUCCAAACUCGAAGGGUUUGAUGGAAUUUUCUUUUUUUUUUUAAAGGCCCAAGAUUUUUUUGGAAGCUCAAGUUAUUGCUGAAAACUGCUUAGUGCUCUGCAUUUUAUACGCCCAGAAAUGCUGCACUGAAACCUGGGAUUAGACCUUAUCAGUGGGAGCAGCCCUGCUCCUGGAUCAGCUGGACCCUGUGGUGUGUGCACAGGUGAAAAAUGACUGGAUUAUCAGGGAAGACAGCACUCAUUGGAAAUGGCAGAGCAGAAGAGGAAAUCCUCUCAGAUCCUCCAAAUAAAGAGUGUUUGAAAGAGCAAGGGUCCACAAGAAAUGGCCAGGUGUCUUGCUUCCCUGAGGACCGCACAAGCAAGCAGGAAUUAGUGAUUUUAGCAGAGAGAAAUGCUUUUGAAUGUACUGAAGCAAGGUUCCCUGUGGAAAAGUAACAAGAGGAGAGUGCUCCUGUGCUUUUAAGGGAAACCAGCAGCUGAUACAUUUUAGUGGAUUCCUUGCAUCGUGUGAGAUGCUUAAGAUGGGAGGCUGAGCAAGUGAAGAUUUGCACUGGGCCUGGGUUGAGAAGCCUUUUCUGGCAGUGCUGAGAUAAAACAAGCAGCUUCUGACACUUACACUGAAAAAGUGCUUAGACAAAGAUGUUCCUGCUGAUUAAUAAACUUGCUGAAAUGAGGGACUCUGAUCUGCAAUCCCUGUUGGAUUUAGGCACAGCAUCCAAAGAGGUUACAGAUCCCACAGCUGGCUGAGAGCUCUGGGUGCAGCAGUUAAAGAAAAUCCAGCAGGGCUUGGGAAUCACAGCCCUCAAACCCAGCCUUUCCUCAGUUCUCACCCAGCUUCUCUUCUGGCCUCCUUCUCUAUGGCUUUGCUCUUGUUGAUAUUUCUGUCACAGCCCUUUGUGCUUUGCUUCUGCCCAAUUUCACCCAGAAGGGAUCUCCAAAGCUCUGAAACAAGUUUUCUUCCACACUUAUGUUCUCAUGUCUCCCUUUCCUGGGUUUUCUGUGUCUCUUUUCUCCCCACCCCUGAAUCCUGGCCAUGCCUUUGUGUAUGUGUGGGUGUGUUCAUUUCCAAUGCACUGCUUUACCUGCAGUGGGGAUCAGAAAUAAAUCCUUGGGGGAGCAGAGCAGGAAAAGCAGCACAAUGGGCUUGAGAGAAAGCGCUCUGAUAAGCUCUUAAAUGGAACUUCCAGGUCAGUGGCUGCCAUGUUCCUCACUCAGAGGACAUCUCCCAGCCUGUCCAUUCCCAGUGCUCCCAGUCCCAACCUGCUCAUCCCUGGCUGGGCAGGGAUGAGCUGCCACUGUGCCAAGUGUGGGAAAAUGCAGUUUACAGCAGAGCUGACCCCCAUUCCUCUGUUUCUGUUGUAUCCUCAUCCCCUUUCUAGUGACAGUCAUUGGAGCAGGAGCUAUCUGGAAGAAUGAGAGUCCAGCAAAGUGUGUCUCUUAACCAGGACACUCUGUCUAUGCUGGUCCAUAGAGGUGGGACAGUCUGUGGGUAUGGGAAGCUUCCAGCUUGGAAAGAGGCACAGAAUCUCUGACCCCAGCAGUGUGGUUUAGUGAGUAUUAAGUGCAGUCUAAUGAGUUUUGUUAUUUCCAGAUCAGUCUACUGCUCUGGAGACCCACCUGUCAUGAGAAGAACAAUUUUUUUUCACUCAAGUUUAUUCUUCCACAAAGCUGGCAAAUGGGAUUCUUAUCUUCAGGAGCUCUAAGAGCAGUUCUUGGUAGGGUUGAGUGUCAGCUUUUAGCAGCAAAUGGUAUUUGAAGGUUUGGGAAUCAAUGAUAAAGUACUUAGAGAAAUAAAGGAGUGGCUCUGGGUAGGCUUGGAGCUGUUAUAUAUUGUUUUUCUCAAAGCUAAGAGUUGUCUGGAGCACUGAGUGGAGGGGAGAAAUUUCCCUUUAGAAUCCAAAAUGUCCUUGCUGUAUUCCCCACAAAAGGGACUUGAAAACUCAGAUUGGUUCCUGUGGGUCAAAGCCCAGAUUUUUGUUUUUAAUAUGGGUUUGACAGAAAUUUUCUGAGUUGUGAACUACUCAUAUUAAGGCUUGGAAAGGCACAGAACACCUGCCUCUGGUAGGGACAAUUCCCUGACAAAGAGAGCAGAAGAAAUCCCUCCCUAAAACAGAGGGA